rnacentral:miRNA from 15 species
AUUUGGCUGUCCUACGAGCGAGUUCCACUAAUCAAGUUUUGAGUGUUCGAAAAUCAAAAACUUGACACGUUGAGCUCGUCUGUGUGGCACAAGUUCAACAAAA